UGGGGAAUAUUGGACAAUGGGCGCAAGCCUGAUCCAGCCAUGCCGCGUGAAUGAUGAAGGCCUUAGGGUUGUAAAAUUCUUUCAACGGGGACGAUAAUGACGGUACCCGUAGAAGAAGCCCCGGCUAACUUCGUGCCAGCAGCCGCGGUAAUACGAAGGGGGCUAGCGUUGCUCGGAAUUACUGGGCGUAAAGCGUACGUAGGCGGAUUAAUAAGUUGGUGGUGAAAGCCCAGGGCUCAACCUUGGAACUGCCAUCAAAACUGUUAGUCUGGAGCAUAGUAGAGGUUAGUGGAAUUCCAAGUGUAGAGGUGAAAUUCGUAGAUAUUUGGAGGAACACCAGUGGCGAAGGCGACUGACUGGGCUAUUGCUGACGCUGAGGUACGAAAGCGUGGGGAGCAAA
rnacentral:rRNA from 1 species